rnacentral:rRNA from 1 species
GACGAACGCUGGCGGCGUGCUUAACACAUGCAAGUCGAACGGAAAGGCCCUGCUUUUGUGGGGUGCUCGAGUGGCGAACGGGUGAGUAACACGUGAGUAACCUGCCCUUGACUUUGGGAUAACUUCAGGAAACUGGGGCUAAUACCGGAUAGGAGCUCCUGCUGCAUGGUGGGGGUUGGAAAGUUUCGGCGGUUGGGGAUGGACUCGCGGCUUAUCAGCUUGUUGGUGGGGUAGUGGCUUACCAAGGCUUUGACGGGUAGCCGGCCUGAGAGGGUGACCGGCCACAUUGGGACUGAGAUACGGCCCAGACUCAUACGGGAGGCAGCAGUGGGGAAUAUUGCACAAUGGGCGGAAGCCUGAUGCAGCAACGCCGCGUGCGGGAUGACGGCCUUCGGGUGGUAAACCGCUUUCGCCUGUGACGAAGCGUGAGUGACGGGAAUGGGGAAAGAAACACCGGCUAACUACGG